rnacentral:lncRNA from 1 species
GCGCUUAGCUUCUGCUUCGGUGGCGCGCACCUCUGGAUUCUGAUGUCCGCGGCGCUGAACCUCUGCUCCGGCAGCUCAGAAUGCAAGGUCCUCUU